rnacentral:rRNA from 1 species
UACGUAGGUGGCAAGCGUUACUCGGAAUCACUAGGCGUAAAGCGCAGGUAGGCGGUUUGGUAAGUCUGUUGUGAAAGCUCCCGGCUCAACUGGGAGAGGUCAACGGAAACUACCAGGCUGGAGUGUGGUAGAGGUAGCUGGAAGUCCCGGUGUAGCGGUGAAAUGCGUAGAUAUCGGGAGGAAUACCUAUGGCGAAAGCAGGCUACUGGACCAUCACUGACGCUGAUCUGCGAAAGCUAGGGGAGCAAACAGG